rnacentral:rRNA from 1 species
GCAGGCUGCAACCCGCCUGCAUGAAGUCGGAAUUGCUAGUAAUCGCGGAUCAGCAUGCCGCGGUGAAUACGUUCCCGGGCCUUGUACACACCGCCCGUCACACCAUGAGAGCCGGGGGGACCCGAAGUCCGUAGCCUAACCGCAAGGGGGGCGCGGCCGAAGGUAAAACUGGUGAUUGGGGUGAAGUCGUAACAAGGUACC